GGCAAUGAGUUUGCUAAGCAGCAAAAAUACACAAAGGCAGUGGAACAUUACAUAGAAGCUAUGAGAAGGAACUCUAAGGAUCUAAGGAUAUACAGCAACAGGGUUGCGUGCUACACUUGGUUGGGAGCCUGGGCUGAAGGACUCAAAGAUGCACAGAAUUGCAUUGAUCUUGAUCCUUCAUUUUCAAAUGAAAUGUUCAAUCAGGAAAAUAUCUUGGUGUUGUAGAUCUAAUCAGUCUUUAUGAUUUUGCUUUGGACGGUGUUCUUGAAGGGAGAACUUUUGAGAAUCUUAUGUUCAGGGAUGCUGAAAAGCACUCACAAUAUUCAAAUGUUUCUUCAUCCCAAUGCUAUGGAAGGCAUUUUCAGACAAUCCUCAAGUUGUUGAUUGCCCAAUGCUUUGAAAGUCCUUAUAUACUAGAGCCAGUCUUCUUGAACAUGAGAGGGAGUUGCAAAGCCAAAAGGAGAACUUUGUUGUUAACAAAAUUUUUCAUAUAUUACCAAUAGAGAUAACUUGUGUGUAUAAUUCUUCUUAAAUAUCGGAAUCCUUCCUUGCA